AACGAACGCUGGCGGCAUGCCUAACACACGCAAGUCGAACGAGACCUUCGGGUCUAGUGGCGCACGGGUGCGUAACGCGUGGGAAUCUACCCUUGGGUUCGGAAUAACAGUCAGAAAUGACUGCUAAUACCGGGUGAUGACGUAAGUCCAAAGAUUUAUCGCCCAAGGAUGAGCCCGCGUAAGAUUAGCUUGUUGGUGGGGUAAUGGCCUACCAAGGCGACGAUCUUUAGCUGGUCUGAGAGGAUGAUCAGCCACACUGGGACUGAGACACGGCCCAGACUCCUACGGGAGGCAGCAGUGGGGAAUAUUGGACAAUGGGCGAAAGCCUGAUCCAGCAAUGCCGCGUGAGUGAUGAAGGCCUUAGGGUUGUAAAGCUCUUUUACCAGGGAUGAUAAUGACAGUACCUGGAGAAUAAGCUCCGGCUAACUCCGUGCCAGCCGCCGCGGUAA
rnacentral:rRNA from 1 species